AGCUAACCUCUCCUCAUAAGACAUUCCUUUAUGACCAGAAAUCAUUCUCGUCGCCCUAUGUUGCACCAUUUCCAAGGCAGCAAUGUCCUUCUUAAGGUAUGGUGACCAAACCUGCACACAGUAUUCUAGGUGGGGUCUUACCAAGGAAUUAUAUAAUCGUAGCAUCACCUCCCUUGACUUAAACUCCACACACCUAGAGAUGUAACCCAACAUCCUAUUGGCCUUUUUAAUUGCUUCCCCACACUGGUGAGAGUGCGACAUGGAAGCAUCAACAUACACACCGAGGUCUUUCUCAUAAUCAGCUAGUGGACCUUCCAAAGGAGAAAUACCUGAGGAGGGAAAACUGAGGACAGACUGUCGCACACCCACUGCUCAUCGCGGGAGCAGCGGAGGCUGUCCUGGCAGGACAGGGGUGGGGAAUCUGAUCCACGGAGGGCCGGAGUGGGUGCAGGUUUCUGGGAUGGCCUCUCAAUCAGCCAUCUCUAUGCUCCACUCAUCUUAAAGUGACAGAGCCGCCCCUCCACCUGUGGCACUUCACCUCCACCUGGACAUCGCUUUCAAGCCCCGCUGCUGAUACAUCCACCAAGGGUCCCGGAGGAAAUUCAGCCACGAUGACACUAACCCGAUAAAGUCCAUCUGGUCUUCAACUCGUCAUUCUCCUCGCAACACCAACCAGGAUGUUAACCACAAUGUGUUAGCCCACCUAACCAGGUCGGCUAAACCUACAGUCAAACAGGCUAACUCCAGCGUCAACUUCGGAUUAUUAAACAUCCGCGCUCUGACUGGUAAGGGGUAUCUCGUCCACUAUCUCCUCUCAAAGCGCAAGUUGGAUUUUCUAUGUUUGACUGGAACAGCAUAAUGAUUUUGUUUCCCUCAACGACUCCAUUCCACCUGAGUUUGUUUAUGUUUGCCAAUCUCGUGACUUGGGGCGGGGCGGAGUUCUUGCGAUGAUUCAUCGGAAGCAGUGGGAAGUUCUCCCCGUCUCUACCCUACUCUUCCAUUCAUUUGAAUACACCGCAUCACAGCUCCCUGGAUCCACUCCCACUAUUAUAUCCACUGUUUAUCGACCACCUAAGCCAAAUAAGGAUUUUCUAAAUUACUUUCUUGCUUUUCUUACUCAUUUCUAAGUACUCCCUCCCAAUAUUAUAAUCCAUGGUGACUUUAACAUUCAUAUGGACAAUGGUAAUAACCUCCUCUUCAGAGAUUUCACAUCUUGUUUGGAUAGCUUUGGAUUUCAAGAACACAUUAAAUUCCCUGCUCACUGCAAAGGCCAUAUCUUAGACCUGGUUUGCCGGUCUGGUGU